GGCUUUAUGAUGCUUAUGAACUGAAACAUGCCUUGAAGGGAGCUGGAACAAAUGAAAAAGUACUGACAGAAAUUAUUGCUUCAAGGACACCUGAAGAACUGAGAGCCAUCAAACAAGUUUAUGAAGAAGAAUAUGGCUCAAGCCUGGAAGAUGACGUGGUGGGGGACACUUCAGGGUACUACCAGCGGAUGUUGGUGGUUCUCCUUCAGGCUAACAGAGACCCUGAUGCUGGAAUUGAUGAAGCUCAAGUUGAACAAGAUGCUCAGGCUUUAUUUCAGGCUGGAGAACUUAAAUGGGGGACAGAUGAAGAAAAGUUUAUCACCAUCUUUGGAACACGAAGUGUGUCUCAUUUGAGAAAGGUGUUUGACA
rnacentral:misc_RNA from 1 species